GGGAGGCAGCAGUGGGGAAUAUUGGACAAUGGGGGCAACCCUGAUCCAGCGACGCCGCGUGGGUGAAGAAGGCCUGCGGGUUGUAAAGCCCUUUCGGUUGGGAAGAAAAGUUGCGACCUAACACGUCGCGACCUUGACGUAACCAACUAAAGAAGCACCGGCUAACUCUGUGCCAGCAGCCGCGGUAAUACAGAGGGUGCGAGCGUUAAUCGGAAUUACUGGGCGUAAAGCGCGCGUAGGCGGCUUUGUAAGUCGGUUGUGAAAUCCCCGGGCUUAACCUGGGAACUGCAUCCGAGACUGCCAAGCUAGAGUAUGGGAGAGGGAAGUGGAAUUUCAGGUGUAGCGGUGAAAUGCGUAGAUAUCUGAAGGAACAUCAGUGGCGAAAGCGACUUCCUGGACCAAUACUGACGCUCAUGUGCGAAAGCGUGGGGAGCAAACAGGAUUAGAUACCCUGGUAGUCCACGCCAUAAACGAUG
rnacentral:rRNA from 1 species